rnacentral:lncRNA from 1 species
GUAUAGAUGAAUGGAAUGGAUGAAUGUACGUCACCACACUAGUCCAACGCUAGUUGUGGCUUCUUUUAUCGUUUCCACUAGUCCAACGCUAGUCGGAAUUCAUAGAAUGGGCUAGUCCAAUGCUAGACCCAAUAGGUUUUUUUUUCCUUUUUUCAUUAAGUGCAUGAUCACCACAUAUCACGCAUUUUUCCUUAGUUUGUCAUUUGGUAUGUUCCUCAAACCCCUUCCCCUUCAUUUUAGGACUUGCAUCUCAUGCUAGUUAGGGUUCAUUUGCGUGAAAAUCCCUUCCGAUAAGGGAAACGAGCGAGUGUGGCUACUCGAUAGCCUUAGCACGCUAGUU